rnacentral:tRNA from 1 species
UGGGGUAUAGCCAAGGGGUAAAGCAAUGGUUUUUGGUACCAUCAUGGGCUGGUUCGAAUACAGCUAACCCAA